AUUGAACGCUGGCGGCAUGCCUUACACAUGCAAGUCGAACGGUAACAGGUCUUCGGAUGCUGACGAGUGGCGAACGGGUGAGUAAUACAUCGGAACGUGCCUAGUAGUGGGGGAUAACUACUCGAAAGAGUGGCUAAUACCGCAUGAGAUCUACGGAUGAAAGCAGGGGAUCGCAAGACCUUGUGCUACUAGAGCGGCCGGUGGCAGAUUAGGUAGGUGGUGGGAUAAAAGCUUACCAAGCCGACGAUCUGUAGCGGGUCUGAGAGGACGAUCAGCCACACUGGGACUGAGACACGGCCCAGACUCCUACGGGAGGCAGCAGUGGGGAAUUUUGGACAAUGGGCGCAAGCCUGAUCCAGCAAUGCCGCGUGCAGGAUGAAGGCCUUCGGGUUGUAAACUGCUUUUGUACGGAACGAAAAGCCCCGGGUUAAUACCCUGGGGUCAUGACGGUACCGUAAGAAUAAGCACCGGCUAACUACGUGCCAGCCGCCGCAGUAA
rnacentral:rRNA from 1 species